UUUGGACACCCAACCUCCCUCCACAUAGCCUCAGGUGAAGCUGACUGUAUCCCUCAGAGCCAGAGUUCCCAGUGGAGCAGCACCGAGAAAAGGUGAAGCGGGUAGUCCUCCAGACUGAGCAAAGGAACACUAAAUUUUCAGGUGCUACGCAAGGUGCAUAGCCCCCUAAAUCUGGGUGCUGACUCCAGACGCCCCUCAUUAAAGGCAAGCA